GAAGUGGCGCAGACUACACAUGCAGUCGAACGGUAACAUGAUGUGCUUGCUCAUCGAUGACGAGUGGCGGACGGGUGAGUAAUGCUUGGGAACUUGCCUUUGCGAGGGGGAUAACAGUUGGAAACGACUGCUAAUACCGCAUAAUGUCUACGGACCAAACGGGGCUUCGGCUCCGGCGCAAAGAGAGGCCCAAGUGAGAUUAGCUAGUUGGUAAGGUAACGGCUUACCAAGGCGACGAUCUCUAGCUGUUCUGAGAGGAAGAUCAGCCACACUGGGACUGAGACACGGCCCAGACUCCUACGGGAGGCAGCAGUGGGGAAUAUUGCACAAUGGGGGAAACCCUGAUGCAGCCAUGCCGCGUGUGUGAAGAAGGCCUUCGGGUUGUAAAGCACUUUCAGUUGUGAGGAAAAGUUAGUAGUUAAUACCUGCUAGCCGUGACGUUAACAACAGAAGAAGCACCGGCUAACUCCGUGCCAGCAGCCGCGGUAAUACGGAGGGUGCGAGCGUUAAUCGGAAUUACUGGGCGUAAAGCGCACGCAGGCGGUUUGUUAAGCUAGAUGUGAAAGCCCCGGGCUCAACCUGGGAUGGUCAUUUAGAACUGGCAGACUAGAGUCUUGGAGAGGGGAGUGGAAUUCCAGGUGUAGCGGUGAAAUGCGUAGAUAUCUGGAGGAACAUCAGUGGCGAAGGCGACUCCCUGGCCAAAGACUGACGCUCAUGUGCGAAAGUGUGGGUAGCGAACAGGAUUAGAUACCCUGGUAGUCCACACCGUAAACGCUGUCUACUAGCUGUGUGUGCCUUUAAGGCGUGCGUAGCGAAGCUAACGCGCUAAGUAGACCGCCUGGGGAGUACGGCCGCAAGGUUAAAACUCAAAUGAAUUGACGGGGGCCCGCACAAGCGGUGGAGCAUGUGGUUUAAUUCGAUGCAACGCGAAGAACCUUACCUACACUUGACAUGCUGAGAAGUUACUAGAGAUAGUUUCGUGCCUUCGGGAACUCAGACACAGGUGCUGCAUGGCUGUCGUCAGCUCGUGUCGUGAGAUGUUGGGGUUAAGUCCCGCAACCAAGCGCAACCCUUGGUCCUUAGUUGCCAGCCUUAAAUUUGGGCACUUCUAAGGAGAACCUGCCGGUGAAAAAACCCGGAGGAAAGGUGGGGGACAAACUCAAAGUUCAUUCAGGGCCCUUUACCGGGUAGGGGCUUCCCCACCGUGCCAACAAGGGGCAUUA
rnacentral:rRNA from 1 species